rnacentral:rRNA from 1 species
CAGUAGCCGCGGUAAUACGUAGGUGGCAAGCGUUGUCCGGAAUUAUUGGGCGUAAAGGGCUCGCAGGCGGUUUCUUAAGUCUGAUGUGAAAGCCCCCGGCUCAACCGGGGAGGGUCAUUGGAAACUGGGAAACUUGAGUGCAGAAGAGGAGAGUGGAAUUCCACGUGUAGUGGUGAAAUGCGUAGAGAUGUGGAGGAACACCAGUGGCGGAGGCGACUCUCUGGUCUGUAACUGACGCUGAGGAGCGAAAGCGUGGGGAGCGAACAGGAUUAGAUACCCGGGUAGUCCCUGUCCUUAUACA